rnacentral:rRNA from 2 species
AGAGUUUGAUCAUGGCUCAGAACGAGCGCUGGCGGCAUGCCUAACACAUGCAAGUCGAACGAAGGCUUCGGCCUUAGUGGCGCACGGGUGCGUAACGCGUGGGAAUCUGCCCUUGGGUUCGGAAUAACAGUGAGAAAUUACUGCUAAUACCGGAUGAUGACUUCGGUCCAAAGAUUUAUCGCCCAAGGAUGAGCCCGCGUAAGAUUAGCUAGUUGGUGAGGUAAAGGCUCACCAAGGCGACGAUCUUUAGCUGGUCUGAGAGGAUGAUCAGCCACACUGGGACUGAGACACGGCCCAGACUCCUACGGGAGGCAGCAGUGGGGAAUAUUGGACAAUGGGCGAAAGCCUGAUCCAGCAAUGCCGCGUGAGUGAUGAAGGCCUUAGGGUUGUAAAGCUCUUUUACCAGGGAUGAUAAUGACAGUACCUGGAGAAUAAGCUCCGGCUAACUCCGUGCCAGCAGCCGCGGUAAUACGGGGGGAGCUAGCGUUGUUCGGAAUUACUGGGCGUAAAGCGCACGUAGGCGGCCAUUCAAGUCAGAGGUGAAAGCCCGGGGCUCAACCCCGGAACUGCCUUUGAAACUAGAUGGCUUGAAUCUUGGAGAGGCGAGUGGAAUUCCGAGUGUA